rnacentral:lncRNA from 1 species
GAGGACAUGACUCUAGAUAGGAAGGAGUGGAGGUCACGUAUUAAGGUUGAAGGCUAGUAGGGUUAGCAUGCUGUCUUUCCUGGCGAGGGUAUGGGUUGUUAGCGUUUGUAGGAGUCUUAGCCGUACACUUGUAGUUCUUGUAUGUGAUCCCUAUUGCCUUAUGUUGUUUACUGCGUUUCACUUCUCGCAUUAUUUUCUUGAUGUAUUGCCCCCUUUGUUGAUUAUGCACUAUUUUUCCAGUCAAGAACUCACAUGUUCAGAAAAUGCAUGUUGCGGAGAUGAGGAUGUUGAGAUGGAUGUGUGGGCACACUAGGAGCGAUAAGAUUAGGAAUGAGGUUAUCCGGGAGAAGGUGGGAGUGGCCUCUGUGGUGGACAAGCUGAGGGAAGCGAGACUGAGAUGGUUUGGACAUGUGAAGAGACAGGGCGCAGACGCCCCAGUGAGGAGGUGCGAGGGGCUGGUAGUAGAGGGUACGCGGAGGGGUAGAGGUAGGCCCAAGAAGUAUUGGGGAGAGGUGAUUAGACAGGACUUGGCCCAGCUACACAUUACCGAGGACAUGACUCUAGAUAGGAAGGAGUGGAGGUCACGUAUUAAGGUUGAAGGCUAGUAGGGUUAGCGUGCUGUCUUUCCUGGCGAGGGUAUGGGUUGUUAGCGUUUGUAGGAGUCUUAGCCGUACACUUGUAGUUCUUGUAUGUGAUCCCUAUUGCCUUAUGUUGUUUACUGCGUUUCACUUCUCGCAUUAUUUUCUUGAUGUAUUGCCC